rnacentral:rRNA from 1 species
AACGCUAGCUACAGGCUUAACACAUGCAAGUCGAGGGGCAGCAUUGGAGUAGCAAUACUUCAGAUGGCGACCGGCGCACGGGUGAGUAACACGUAUCCAACCUGCCGCUUACUCGGGGAUAGCCUUUCGAAAGAAAGAUUAAUACCCGAUGGUAUAAAGAGUUCGCAUGUUCUCUUUAUUAAAGAAUUUCGGUAAGCGAUGGGGAUGCGUUCCAUUAGAUUGUUGGCGGGGUAACGGCCCACCAAGUCUACGAUGGAUAGGGGUUCUGAGAGGAAGGUCCCCCACAUUGGAACUGAGACACGGUCCAAACUCCUACGGGAGGCAGCAGUGAGGAAUAUUGGUCAAUGGACGAGAGUCUGAACCAGCCAAGUAGCGUGAAGGAUGACUGCCCUAUGGGUUGUAAACUUCCUUUAUAAGGGAAUAAAGUGAGGGACGUGUCCCUUUUUGUAUGUACCUUAUGAAUAAGGAUCGGCUAACUCCGUGCCAGCAGCCGCGGUAAUACGGAGGAUCCAAGCGUUAUCCGGAUUUAUUGGGUUUAAAGGGAGCGUAGGUUGACAUAUAAGUCAGCUGUGAAAGUUUACGGCUCAACCGUGAAAUUGCAGUUGAUACUGUAUGUCUUGAGUGUACAAGAGGUGGGCGGAAUUCGUGGUGUAGCGGUGAAAUGCUUAGAUAUCACGAAGAACUCCGAUUG